rnacentral:rRNA from 1 species
CUACGGGAGGCAGCAGUAAGGAAUCUUCCGCAAUGGGCGAAAGCCUGACGGAGCAACGCCGCGUGGGCGAUGAAGGCCUUCGGGUCGUAAAGCCCUUUUCUGUGGGACGAUAAUGACGGUACCACAGGAAUAAGCCACGGCUAACUACGUGCCAGCAGCCGCGGUAAUACGUAGGUGGCUAGCGUUAUCCGGAUUCACUGGGCGUAAAGAGCGCGUAGGCGGUGUGCUAAGUUGGACGUGAAAGCCCCCGGCUUAACCGGGGGAGGUCGUCCAAUACUGGUGCACUUGAGGGCAGGAGAGGGAGGUGAAAUUCCCGGUGUAGUGGUGAAAUGCGUAGAUAUCGGGAGGAACACCAGUGGCGAAGGCGGCCUCCUGGCCUGUUCCUGACACUAAGACGCGAAAGCUAGGGGAGCGAACGGGAUUAGAUCCCCCUGUAGU